UUCACCUCUGAGUUGAAUAGAAAAGAUUGAGUAUUAUGUCCUGUAAACUGUUGAGUUACAUUUAUGACCUCUGAAUACUUCAACCUAGGCAUUAGGGCUAAUCUUCUAUGUGAAAAAAGGUCACUGAGUGGUUUUUAUAAUAUCAACCAUCCCUGAACUAGACCAGUGUCAGAUUUCUUGACAAUAGGAUUGAAUUCUUAAAGGGUUUACAUUUUAAAUGAUUGGUUAACUUUAAUUCCCACAAUAUUUAAAAGUAAAGUUAAUUGUUGUUUAAAUGGAGUCAGAUUGAAUAAAUAUUUACUAUACUUUACUUUACUUUGGAAAACCUCUUGCUAACGCCGGAAAGACAGAAUACUUCUUGGGGAGAGAUUGUUACUUGGUAGUAGAUAUUUCCUCCCCUACAGUUUGGUGACCCUGACGUGAUCUCGCGAUUGCAGCAAGCAAAAGGCGAGCGAAGUCAACUCCGGCGGAUCGAACAAUGAGGUGUGAUUUCCUCUGUGUCUUCCUACAGCUUCUGUGGUUAAUCCAAAAGACCAGCGGAAACUUGCCUUCACUUUUAACCACACCCAGUUCACCUGGCAACGGAUGCCACAGGGCCUACACAUCAGUCCGGGUGCAUUUCACAAAGCCGUAUCAGACAUUCUUAGUCCACAUGCCAACACAGGGGAAGUAGUAAGCUACGUGGACGACAUUCUGAUUAAACAACAAUUCUGGUGGCCAGCAAUGACUGAAGAUGUUGACAGCUGGUGUGCCUCUGGCCUUGUGUGUGCUGCCUACAAUCAAGGGAAACCUGGCCACACUAAAUUGUGCAGACCUAAUCCACCCAACGGUCUGGGGGAAGCACUACAGAUGGAUUUCAUUGGUUCACUUCCCAGUGCCAAGGGGGGGUACUGCUAUUGUCUCAUCAUAAUUGACAAAGUCUCAAAGUGGGUUGAUGCCAUCCCCACUCACAACAACACGGCAAGAACAGUAGCACAGGUUUAGCGAACCAAAUCAUCCCCCUGUUUGGACCACCUCUGCAAAUCACAUCUGACCAAGGCGGCCAUUUCAAAGGUCAGGUAAUGAAAGACAUGUGCAACAUGUUGAACAUCAAACCACGAUCUAAUGUUUUUACGAGUAAAUCGUACAAUCAAAGAAAACAUUGCAAAACAAAGAACACAGCACAAGAACCAAUGGAUUGACGCAUUACCCACAGUUGGUGGGUAAGUUGGUAUCACAUGACCCAGUGUAAAUUGUUUAAAGGUACACUUAAUCAAUAAUCAUAUCUGCUUUUCUUUGCUCUUUGGAUCUCCAUAGAUGGGUCAUGUCGGAAAAAAUGAAA